GAAAGAACCAACAGGAUUGCCUCAGUAACGGCGAGUGAAGCGGCAAGAGCUCAAAUAUGAAAUUCCGGCCCCCCUGGGGGCCUGAGUUGUAAUUUGCAGAGGAUGCUUCGGGCGCGACCGCGGUCCAAGUCCCCUGGAACGGGGCGUCGUAGAGGGUGAGAAUCCCGUCUCCGGCCGGCCGGUCUCGCCCGUGUGAAGCUCCUUCGACGAGUCGAGUUGUUUGGGAAUGCAGCUCCAAAUGGGUGGUAAAUUUCAUCUAAAGCUAAAUACUGGUCGGAGACCGAUAGCGCACAAGUAGAGUGAUCGAAAGAUGAAAAGCACUUUGAAAAGAGAGUUAAACAGCAUGUGAAAUUGUUGAAAGGGAAGCGCUUGGCGACCAGAGUCGGCCGCGGGGGCUCAGCGGGCAUUCGUUGCCCGUGCAAUCCCCCGCGGCCGGGCCAGCGUCGGUUUCGACGGCCGGUCAAAGGCCCCCGGAAUGUGUCGCCUCUCGGGGCGUCUUAUAGCCGGGGGUGCAAUGCGGCCAGUCGGGACC
rnacentral:rRNA from 1 species